UCUUAAAAAUAUAUAGCCAUAACCAAAAUAUAGCCUUGUUAGACUAAUUGAGUUAGAUGGUGGUCAUUAGGCUACCAGUCUAACCGUUGAUGCUUAGCUAGAUAAAGUUUAAAUUAGAAACCUAUUGUGCAUAGGCAUACUGUUGUUAGGAUGUCAAAAGCAAAUGUUAUUAAAUCUAAAAACGUCCAAAUGAAAACUAGAUCUACUGAAACAAAAGUGAGAACUUCAGAAACUAAACAGAAAACAAAUACGGACUCCCGUGAAAAGAGGUCAUCGAGUAGUCAAAGGUGUCACCAUAGCAACGAACAUCAAGCCAAGAAGACACUUGUCGACCAUAGGGCAAAAAGGAAAACCGAAACGACUGUGGCUUCUCAAAAACAUAAAACUUCAGAUCAGAAAGAGCAGCAUGUGCACCGAACACGACACAGAACAGGACAUGAAUGUCCAAGUAAGGAGGCAUUUACGGUUAUUGCUCCAAACGCAAAGAAAAGGAAUGAGAUACAGCGAAAGGCCAAGGCUGAGCUGUCAGCUCUGGAGGAUUUCAAACUGAGACGCGCGAUGGGCUACGUGUCUAUCGCCCCCAGCAGAGUAGGAGGAUGCUUAACUUUGGAAGAGGUUAGGAAUAAACAACAACAAGACAUUCAAAUGAGUCAAAAGCAAAAACAGGUGAAAGGAUAUGUGACAAAACCUUCUGUCCUACAUAAAUUAUAAAUGAGAUUUUAAUAGCAAGUUUAACUGUAAUGUACUCACUCGGGAAAAGGAAAAAGAGGGUGUACAUCAGGGUGGAUAAUGGUUUAUACCAGUAGUUCUCAAACUUGGUCAAAUUAUUUGUACUAAAGCUUUAACUGAAAGAUUUUUAUGAUAUGUAUCCACAAUUUAAUCAGUAUGUAAAUGUUUUGCUCAGAAAUGCUCUGUUCUGUUUGUGUUAUUAUUUUUCAACAUUUUUGUUAAAUUUCAGGAGGUACAUACAUUAUUUAGCAGCCCAGAGAUUUGGUUAUUGUCGCAUUGAAAAAAUGAUCGGAAUCGGUGAAGCUCACUAGCUGACCUUAUUAAUUGUUUACUAAAAGGUUGAAAUGUCACUAAUUACUGAACCUUUGUUUCCUUCUGUGAGAACAAAUUAUUCCUGGUACCCACCAUUGUAACAAAGAACUAAUGGCUUUUUUAAUUGAUGGUCUUAAAUCCUAAUUGGGAUUCCAUUACCAGUUCAGUCAAAACUAUUCAAUUGAGCACUAAGGCAGAACAAAAACAGGAUAUACAGGGGUCUCUCUACAAGUAUGAGAGACACUGAUAUUUACAAGUGAAUGUAACAUUCUGUCAUUUGUUUCGUCAAAAUUACCAGUUUGCUUACAAGAAAGUAAAGUGCUGUAUUACUUAAUU